ACCCCCCCCACCCAGAAACAUGCACACAGACACAUGCACACCCAGCCUGGCCACACACUUUCCCCCCACAGGACCUCCCCCAACCCCCACUCUCUCUUGAUCACUAAUCACUAUGAGACAGACCCCACCCCUCUCCCAACUUCCCCCUCCCCCCACCACAAGCCACCUAUGGCUCUGUCUCAUUCCUGUCUGGCCUCUGUUGCACAGACCUGCAGGGCUGGGCUGGGCUGGGAGAACAAUGCCGUGCCAUGCCUUUGCACUGGAAGGGGCAGAUAUAGGGGCUAAGGUGAAUUUUGGGGGGCUACAACCUCCCAAGACACCCCCCCCCCCCCCCAGCGCCACCACCUGCCUGCAGGGAUGCUGCCCAGUAUGGCACUCCUGGUCUAGGGUUUGCACCGCGGACAAGGUGCUUUCUGGCACUCCCAGCUGGCCCAGCCCCAGCCUGUCCCCCCAGCCCCAUUGGGUGAGGGGCUCCACUCCCAGCUGCAGAGAAACAAAUGUGAAAGCUGGGGUUUUCAACUUGGCACAAUUUUUGUGUCCCUGCUGGGAGACAAAAAUGCACCAAGUUUAAAACCCCGCUUUCUCUUCCCUGCUGAUAAGGAUCCCAGGUAGGGUGGCCAUCAUAGAGGACAGUCUGGUUGUCCUUUGUCCUCUAUUGAUACAAAGCCAGAUGCCUUUAUGGGCUCUAUUUUUCUCUUCAAGAGAAAAAUAUGAAACCGGGCCGGCUGUGUGGCUGGGCUGGGCCAGGCCGGCUGGGAGUGCCACACAGCGCCUUGUGGAAGCACCGGGCCAGGAGUGCCACACUGCGCCACAUCCCUGCAGAUGGGCAGUGGUGCUGGGGGGGGUCUUGGGAGGUUGUAAUCCAGUUCAUAUCAAUAGAGGACAGAGGACAGAGUAGGAGUUUCACAUCCAGUUUCAUAUCAGUAGAGGACAGAGGACAGAGUAGCAGAAAACUGGAAUGUCCUCUCUGAUGGCUACCCUAAUCCUGGGGCUGGGGCCCUGAAUUGGUAGGGGCCCCUGGGCUCGUGCCCAGCUGGCCCGUGCAUUAAUCCGCCUGUGCUCCAAUCCAGCUUUCUAGUCUGUCAAAAUCCAUCUGAACUGUGUUCUCAUCCUCCAACAUGUUCACAGUCCUUCCCAGGUUCACAUCAUCAGCAAACUUGCUCAAGAAACCUCCUAUACCAGAUUCAAACCAUUAAUAAACAUCCUGAACAGCAGUGGUCCCAGGACCAACCUCUGUGAGACUCCACUCAAAACCUCCUGCCAUUUAUCUAUCCAAAUUAUAGUAGUUUUAUCCAGCCCACACAUGUCCAAUUUAUUUAUGAGAAGGUCACGUGGGACCUUGUCAAAAGCCUCCUGAAGUCCCUACACACAAUAUCCAGAGCGUUCUCUUCACCCCCCACAAGUUACAUUGUCAAAGAAGGAGAUCAGGUUUGUUUGACAUAUUUUCUUCUUCAUAAAUCAAUGCUCGUGGCUUGCGAUCAACCUUUCCUCCUCCAGAUACUUGCAAAUGGUCUUCCUUAGGAUACGUUCCUGCAGCAUCCCAGUGAGGUGAAGCUAAAUAUUCUGUAGUUCCCCACUGAGUAGUUUUGCCUUUUUAAAAGAGGGACACAAUGUUGCACCUUCUCCAGUCCUCUGGUACCUCACCUCUCUCCCAUGACUUUGUAAAUAGUAUUGCCCAGGGCUCCAAGGUCUCCUCUCUUAGUUACUCCAGUACUGCGGGGGGGCACGACUCGUCAGGCCCUGCUGACAUGAAAUCAUUCAGACCCUUCUGAAACUCUAGGACUGCCUCUCUCCUUAUCUCACCCCUCAGCUGUUCCUGUCCUUAUCUAAACAGUCCUUCUUAGCCAUCUGGCUUCAGCCUCAUGUUUUGGGAAGACUGAGCCCAAGCGGCUGUUGAGCAGCUCUGACUCCUUUGCAUUGCCCUGCACCCUCCUCUCCCUCUUUCAUAUUUUCUCAGGCUUUGUCUCCAGCAGCCCCCUGCUUGCACUGAUGCCUUGAUGGAGAAUAGGGGGUUCUUUAAAGACAAGGUGGUACAUGAAGGGUCUGAUGGAGCAGUGGGAGCAGACCUACCCCCAGUCCUGUGGUGCCCCUGGGAUGGGUGCCAGCUUGGCUUCCUCAGCACAUUGCAUUCUUUCACUUUGCAGCUUAGGCAGACCUUAUAUAAUUGAAAGAGGAACUUGAGAGAGACAGAGAGAGAAACUGAGUGGCUGAUAUGAGCAAAAAGGAGCCUGCAGAGGGACAAGAGACCAAGGCACUUCCCAGAAGAGCCCUCUGGGGAAGGUUUCAAACUCUGGAGUUGGAUAUCUGGAUGAUGUGGCCGGCACAAUAAAGUUGAUAUCAGAUGAUCGACAUCUCAAUGCACAGGGUGUUUGCCUGUGAGUGGAUGCUAAUGUUGGUGCAUCUGUCUACCACUGGAUUCAAAGGAUUGUCCACAAACAGCUGAUGGUACUUCUCCAGUGACUUGAGGUGUCUCCUGUAUCUUGUCCAUGUCUCAGCUCCAUACAGUCCUUGCAGCAAGUUACAGGAUCUGCCAUGGCCAGUGCCAGUGAGGGUUUAGAUCCUGAAGCUUUUUCCCAUAUACCCCAAGAGGAGCUGGAGAAGCUGAAGGCCAUACUAAAGAAAGGAGAUCUCAUGGUAGAAGAAGAAAAUACCCAAGGUAUGCAGGAUAAUGGAGAAAAUGUUAGUCUCAAUGUUGCUAUCACACAGAUCCCAGGCUCUGGCAAGUCAUCCUUCAUCAAUGCUGUGCACACCCAGAAUGAUGGAGAUGAGGGUGGAGCUGACAUAGGAGUGAUGAAAAAAACAUCCAAGCCUGCUCCUUUGCCACACCCAAAAUACCCCAAAGUCAAGCUUCUGCUUUGCGCCCACCUCAGUACAUCAAGAACACGAAACUGCAAUCCUACCUGCUAAGCAAGAUAAGUGCAUCAAAAGCUUGCAAGCAGGAUGGGUGGAAUCGGCACAGUUUUUCCUUGUCUCAAGGUGGCAGUUUAUCAAGUACGAUUCUCCCAAGCUUCAGGAUACUCUUGUGGACGAGCUCCCCACUCACAAUCACUUCUCUCUGUUUUCUGCCCAACUUCUCUAAAGGAGCCUUGAAGAAGAAAAAGAAACACCUGAUGCACAGAUAUGGCUGAAGUUUAUAUUCCUUAGGAGCUCCUACUCUUCCUCUGUUAGGCCUUUCUACUGUUUUAGAUGAAGUUAUCUGGUGACAUUCCUGAAACAGUACUGGGAAUCUGACCUGGAUGAAAAGUCCCUUGCCAAGCUUUCUAGGCAGACUAAGGAGACCAUCAAAGAGCUGACAGAUGUGCUGAAGUUCCCCCUGGCCCAUGAAAUCACAAGACAUCUCAUCAUUAAGCUCCUGCCCAAGGCAGCAACUGAGGCAGUGCAAUACCCUUUGCUGCUCCUGAAGGCCAUCCCCAUAUUGGGUCUCAUAAUAGGUUCCAGGGAAGCAUCCACCAUUUCUUUCCCAACCUCAUACUUCAUGUUUCUGUUUUUUUCUGGAGGACAUGACUGAUGAUGCGCUGGAAAAGGCUUUGGACUGAAAACCGUUUAAGUCAGACCAGCCCCAGAUAAAGGUCAACACUGGCUCUGUGAAAGAGAUGUGGGGGCAGGUCUUCCGUUGGUAUCCAGGGAACUGAGCCUGGGACAAUACAUGACUGCAUGAAACCAAUGGCUGCCCCCACCAUUCCCCUCAGUGAUGCUGCCUUGCCCCGACCUGGUCCUUAAGGAGCCCUGAUAUCCAGAUCCAGCCUGGGUGUGGGUCAAUCUGACACUCCUGCUGUACAGCUCUGGAAGGGAGAAAUGCGGCAAGGAGUGCAGGGAGGCUGCCACGGGGACACAUCAGGCUGGUCCCAUUAACCUCAGGGAAUGACCUCCCAAGCACCCCCCUCCUCCCCCAUGUCCCAUGCUCCCUCUGUUUGGGGAUGGAAGAGAGCAAACCCCCAGGCCUGGGCUGUGGAGCUCUUGUAGGCCUUAGGAUGCUUUGGAGGAAUAUUUUAGCAUGAGUCAAGCUAAGCAGUAAACUGAGGGAAGGAAGUGGUAAGAGGCUAGAAUAUUGCAGAGGUGAGAAUGGGCUUCAACGGCAGGGGUGUAUUUGCAAUUUCUGUUUAUCCAUUUGCCAUAAGUGCAUUACUCCUCACUUAGCAGCUCUGAAAGUCAGGUGGUCGGACUGAAGGAAGACAAGCAAGGCACUGACUUGCGACUGAGUCCCUCUAGCCCUGAACUCCAGCUUGUGCUGAGGUUCACCUUCAGAUACCAGAAGACCCUUGCUGCUUCUGCACUUAGGCUCUGGGCCUUGGAUGAGACUGCCUCUAGCAGACUGGCCACCUGCUAGUGAUUGUGAAGUGUUCAGGAUUUCUUUUGUGUAGUAUUAGGAUUUUUUUAUGAGCAUUUUAUCAUUUGUAACUUUGAUGAGUAUAUUUUGGUUUGACAUUGCAUUGCUCUGUAUUGACUUGUCAUGCAUUCCAGGUAAGACUUAUAUUAAAGCUUCCUGAUA